UACGUAGGGGGCAAGCGUUGUCCGGAUUUAUUGGGCGUAAAGAGCGUGUAGGCGGCCAGGUAGGUCCGUUGUGAAAACUCGAGGCUCAACCUCGAGACGUCGAUGGAAACCAUCUGGCUAGAGUCCGGAAGAGGAGAGUGGAAUUCCUGGUGUAGCGGUGAAAUGCGCAGAUAUCAGGAAGAACACCCGUGGCGAAGGCGGCUCUCUGGGCCGGUACUGACGCUGAGGAGCGAAAGCGUGGGGAGCAAACAGG
rnacentral:rRNA from 1 species